UACGGAGGGGGCGAGCGUUAUUCGGAAUUAUUGGGCGUAAAGCGCGCGCAGGCGGUUUCUUAAGUCUGAUGUGAAAGCCCACGGCUCAACCGUGGAGGGUCAUUGGAAACUGGGGAACUUGAGUGCAGAAGAGAAAAGCGGAAUUCCACGUGUAGCGGUGAAAUGCGCAGAUAUCGGGAAGAACACCCGUGGCGAAGGCGGCUCUCUGGGACGGUACUGACGCUGAGACGCGAAAGCGUGGGGAGCGAACAGG
rnacentral:rRNA from 1 species